rnacentral:lncRNA from 7 species
GGAACAUGGAUGGACACGGGACAUGGAUGGACACGGAACAUGGAUGGACACGGGACAUGGAUGGACACGGGACAUGGAUGGACACAGAACACGGGAUGGACGCGGGACAUGGGAUGGACGCGGGACGGAGGCACACGCGUGUCAGCUGACAGCCAUGGCGGUGCCGGCGGCGCACUGAGAGCGGGGACGGCAUUUUGGGGCAGCGCCACACGGAGCUUUGGGGCCAAACAUCGCCAUUUUGGGACACAGAAAUGCAACGUUUUGGGGCCAAAUCCCGCGAUUUCGGUACAGCAGAGCGGCACGCGGAGUUUUGGGUCCAAAUCGUGGGAUUUCGGGGCACAGAAAUGCAACAUUUUGAGGCCAAACCCCGCGAUUUUGGGACACCCAACGGAGAUGCGGAGUUUUGGGUCCAAACUGCGGGAUUUUGGGGCAGAAGGACGCAACAUUUUGGGACAAAACCUGCAGAUUUUGGUCCACCCGAUGAGGACGCGGAGUUUUGGGGCCAAACGCCGCGAUUUCGGGGCACAGAAAUGCAGUAUUUUGGGGCCAAACCCCGCGAUUUUGGGACACCCGACGGAGAUGCGGAGUUUUGGGUACAAACCACGGGAUUUUGGGACACAGAACUGCCACAUUUUGGGGCCAAACCCCGCGAUUUUGGGACACCCGACGGAGAUGAAUUUUGGGUCCAAAACCAGGGAUUUGGGGGCAGAAGGACGCAACAUUUUGGGGCCAAACCUCACAACUUCUGUCCACCCGAUGAGGACGCGGAGUUUUGGGGCCAAAAUCGUGGGAUUUCAGGGCACAGAAAUGCAGCAUUUUGGGGCCAAAUCCCGCGAUUUCGGUACAGCAGAGCGGCACGCGGAGUUUUGGGUCCAAAUCGUGGGAUUUCGGGGCACAGAAAUGCAACAUUUUGAGGCCAAACCCCGCGAUUUUGGGACACCCGACGGAGAUGCGGAGUUUUGGGUCCAAACUGCGGGAUUUUGGGGCAGAAGGACGCAACAUUUUGGGACAAAACCUGCAGAUUUUGGUCCACCCGAUGAGGACGCGGAGUUUUGGGGCCAAACGCCGCGAUUUCGGGGCACAGAAAUGCAGUAUUUUGGGGUCAAACCCCACGAUUUUGGGACACCUGAUGGAGAUGCGGAGUUUGGGGUCCAAACUCGGGGAUUUGGGGGCAGAAGGACGCAACAUUUUGGGGCCAAACCCCGCAAUUUUGGGACAUACAAUGAGGACACGGAGUUUUGGGGCCAAACGUCGGGAAUUGGGUACAUUUGAUGGGGAUGCGAUUUUGGGGCCAAAGCCUGCGCUUUUCGGGCAGAAGGACACCACAUUUUGGGGCCAAAGUCCGGGAUUUUGGUACAGUGGAGCGGCACGGGGAGUUUGGGGUCCAGAAACAGAUUUGGGGGCAGAAGGAUGCACCAUUUUGGGGACAAACUCCGGGAUUUUGGUACACCCAAUGGAGACGCGGAGUUUCGGGGCCAAACGCCGGGAUUUCGGGGCACAGCAAUGCAUUUUGGGGCCAAACCUCCGGAUUUUGGUACAGCAGAGCGGCACGCGGAGUUUUGGGUCCAAAAGCAGGGAUUUCGGGGCAAAAGGACACAGCAUUUUGGGGCCAAACCUCACAAUUUUGGGACACCCAACGGAGAUGCGGAAUUUUGGGUCCAAACUCCGUGAUUUUGGGGCAGAAGGACGCAACAAUUGGGGGCAAAACUUUGGGAUUUUGGGACGCGCGAUGGGGACGCAGAUUUUUGGGUCCAAACCUCGGGAUUUUGGGACAGAAGGACGCAACAUUUUGGGGCCAAACCUCACGAUUUCGGUCCACCCGAUAAAGAAGCGAAGCUUUGGGUCAAAACUCCGGGAUUUUGGGCCACAGAACCGCCGCAUUUUGGGUCCGAACGCCGGGAAUUUGGGACAUGCGACGGAGACACGGAGUUUUGGGACCAAACUCGGGGAUUUUGGGGCAGAGGGACACAAUAUUUUGGGGCUAAAUGUGUCGGUUUUGGGACACGCGAUGGAGAUGCGACACUUUGGGGCCCAACCCCGGGAUUUGGGGUCCAAACCUCAGAACUUUGGGCCGCCCGAUGGGGACGCGGAGUUUUGGGGCCAAAUUCCGAGAUUUGGGGACACACAACAGCCACAUUUUGGGGCCGAACCCCAUGAUUUUGGGACACCCGACGGAGACGCGGAGUUUUGGGGCCAAACCUCGGGAUUUUGGGGCAGAAGGACGCGAUGUUUUGGGUCUGAACCUCGGAACUUUGGGACACGCGAUGGGAACGCGGAGUUUUGGGGCCAAACUCCGGGAUUUGGGGCCACAGAACCGCAACAUUUUGGGGCCAAACCCCGGGAUUUGGGGUCCGAACCUCAAAAUUUCGUUCCACCCGACGGAGACGCGGAGUUUUGGGUCCAAACUCCGGGAUUUGGGGGCAGAAGGACGCGACGUUUUGGCUCCGAACUUCAGAACUUUGGGACACGCGAUGGGAACGCGGAGUUUUGGGGCCAAACUCCACAAUUUUGGGGCAGAAGGACGCGACAUUUUGGGUCCGAACCACAUAAUUUCGGUCCACCCGAUAAAGACGCGGAGUUUUGGGGCCAAACCUCAGGAUUUGGGGCCACAGAACCACAACAUUUUGGGGUCAAACCCUGCAAUUUUGGGUCCGAACCUCACAAUUUCGGUCCGCCCGACGGAGCUGUGGAGUUUCGGGUUCAAACUUUGGGAUUUUGGGCCAAAAAACUGCAACAUUUCGGUUCCAAAUCUCACAAUUUCGGUCCACCCGAUAAAGACGCGGAGUUUUGGGGCCAAACUUCGGGAUUUGGGGCCACAGAACCGCCACAUUUUGGGGCCAAACCUCAAAACUUUGGGACAGCCGACAGAGACGCAACACUUUGGGUCCAAACAUCACAAUUCUGGGGCAGGACGACCCAACAUUUUGGGUCCGAACCUCCCAAUUUUGGUACACCCGAUAAAGACGCGGAGUUUCGGGGCAAAACUUCGGGAUUUGGGGCCACAGAACCGCAACGUUUUGGGUCCAAACCUCACAAUUUUGGUCCACUCGAUAAAGACGCGGAGUUUUGGGUUCCCACUCCGGGAUUUGGGGCCGCAGAACCGCAAUGUUUUGGGUCCAAAAGCUGCGAUUUCGGGUCCGAGCCUCAGAACUUUGCUACACCCGAUAAAGACGCGGAGUUUUGGGUCCAAACACCACAAUUUGGGGCCACGGAACCGCCACAUUUCAGGUCCAAACCUCAGAACUUUGGGACAGCCGAUAAAGACGCGGAGUUUUGGGUCCAAACACCACAAUUUGGGGCCACGGAACCGCCACAUUUCGGGUCCGAACCUCAGAACUUUGGGACAGCCGAUAAAGACGCGGAGUUUUGGGUUCCCACUCCGGGAUUUGGGGCCACAGAACCGCCACAUUUUGGGUCCAAACCCCGCGAUUUCGGGUCCGAACCUCCGAACUUUGCGACACCCGACGGAGCCGCAGCACUUCGGGUUCGCAGUCCGGGAUUUGGGGCCGCAGAACGGCCCGGUUCGGGUGCGGAACGGCGCGAUUGGGGUUCGGCACCGCCGUCUUUCGGGCCGCCCGAUAAAGGCGCGGAGUUUCGGCGGGGAACGGCGGCGUCGCGGCCCGCAGCAGCGCCCCAUUCCGGGUCCGCCCGCCGUCCUUCGGGUCCGCCCUCCUCCGCCGCGGACUUUUCCGGCCCGCACCGCCGCUCCGUUUCGGGGCCGAACGCCGCGAUUUCGGGAGCGGUUCCGGAGGGGGCGGCGCUGCGCCGAUGGGCGCCGUUGCGGCGCCGUUGCGGGGCCGACGGCGCGGUCGUCCCCCCCCCCCCCCCUCUCCACACACACACACACACACACACCCCCCCCGCCCCCCCUCCCCCUUUCCUCCCCUUCCUCCCCUCCCGGCCCCCCCCCCCCCCAUCCCCUCCCCCACCCCCCGGGGGGGGUCCCGUCCCACCCCCCGCCCCGCCCCCCACUCACAGCCGCUCUUCUCCUCCCGCCGCCGCCGCCGCCGCCGCCGCCAUUUUCUUUCGCAGCGCAGAAACCCCGCGAGGGGGGGGGGGAGGCGGGAGGGGGGGGCGGGGGGGGACCGAGCCCGGGAGGAAACGCUCAGCGCCGUUGCCCCGCCCGCCGCGCGCCGCGAUUGGGCCGAACGCGCGUCGCUCGGAGCGGCGCCCCGCGGCGAUUGGUCGGCGGAGAGGAGGAGGGGGCGGGGCGAGGAGCGUUCCCGGCGGCCGUUGGAAUUGGCGGGAAGCGCUGUCAGUUAGAGGGGGCGGGGCGACGGGAGCGCGCGCAGCGUCCCGUUGGCCGAGCGUCACCGCGUCGCGUCGCCAUUGGUCCCGGGAGACGCCCGUCAGCGGGGGGGCGGGGCCGCGCCGCUGCGCACGGGUUUGAAAUUCAACGGCCGCAGCGGCCCCGCCCCCUCCGCGCGGUGCGCGCCGGGAU